AGUAACGCGUGGGUAACCUGCCCAUAAGAGGGGGAUAAUCCAUGGAAACGUGGACUAAUACCGCAUAUUGUAGUUAAGUUGCAUGACUUGAUUAUGAAAGAUUUAUCGCUUAUGGAUGGACUCGCGUCAGAUUAGAUAGUUGGUGAGGUAACGGUUCACCAAGUCAACGAUCUGUAGCCGAACUGAGAGGUUGAUCGGCCGCAUUGGGACUGAGACACGGCCCAGACUCCUACGGGAGGCAGCAUG
rnacentral:rRNA from 1 species